rnacentral:misc_RNA from 1 species
CGUGCCAGUAACCGAACUGUACGGCAUGGCGAUACGCGUGGUCGCGCUGGGUGGUAUGGUUCCCCAGAGGCCGGUUCUUGUGCUGCCUACCCCUUCAGGGGAAGAGUUCCAAACUCGAUGUAAGCCUCCAUCCGGCGCCCUCCAAAGGGCGCGGGAGGACAACGGAGCACCCCCCGCGUUCCACCGAGCCUCCUCGGUCGCGUGGCCCGCGGGGACGUGCGAUGCUCUCGGACCCAGCGAACGCCGUGGGCGAGGACUCACGUCCCGGUCCCAAGUGAAGCAACGGUAUAACGCCGACGGCCGCUCCCGCCCCCCGACCGCCCCGGCGGCGCGGGGCGAAGGCGCGGCGUCGCUGAGGAAUGCAUACCU